CUGGGAUCAGGAAAAAUCCUCAGCUGGAGCAGUAGAGAGAACAAGAGAGCAUUACAGCCUGGGAAAGGAACAGAGAUUUAAUAACACUCAUUGCUUGCACAGCAUUAAGGGUCCUACAUCUCUUGAAAUGACAACUUGAGGCAAAGCUAACAUCCCUGCUGUCUGAAGUGUUGUUCACACCAUCUCAAGUAGAGGAUAACCAAGGUAUAAAGUGGCUUGGCUCUGAAAGUCUUGAAAAAAAGUCAUAGAAAAUCCCUAUGUUUUGCAAAUUUGAUGCAUUCAGAGGCACAUGUGCACAC